UUUUCCUAUCUCUCUCUCUCUCUCUCUCUCUCUCUUAUCUCUGCUUCGAUAUUCAUCAGUAAAAAAAAGGGAUCGAAGAAUCACAUCCACUGAAAGCUAUUUUCUGUUUAUCAACUUCAUCGACUCAACUAUUUUUUAAAUCCAUCGAUCUAUUCUCAGAAAGAUUUCUGUUUCCAUGAGUAGAUCGGCCAUCACGUUUCGACUUUGGAGACAUCAUAUUGAAAAGUCAAAAUCUUCAUUGAUAGAAGAUAAUCACGUCCACGAAGACAGGUUCUCGUGCUAGAAAGAGUCCUUCAGGAGACCAGCUAAGGUAUGGAAUACCAAGACCCUUGACUCGGAAAGACAGAUCACGGCUUCAGUUUUUAAAACAGGGAUAAAUCGUCUGCAAUCCUUUGAUCGGUGAAGGCGGGAAGUAAUAGUAGACCAACUAAUCCGUUAUGGAGAAAUAGAUGGACAGUCAUCAUAAGUGAUAAGAGAAGCUCACACUGAGUACGGAGACAAAGACAGAGAGAUGAGAUUAACUUUUGACAUCACAGAGCAUAGGGAGCGAAGACCAAUGAGUAAGUCAACCACCCUGACGAUCAACAUACUUAUAAAACGAACCCGAAAACACAGCAUCAUCUGCUAUUGUCAUCCUGUACUUAUGCUGUGUUGUUCGGUACUGACCACCAGCUGCAGUUACGGAUACGU